AAACCAGCACCUCAAGUGGUCAGGAUGAUUAUGGGGCCUAAAGCAUCCGUAGCCGGCUCUGUAAGUUUUCGGUUAAAUCUGUACGCUUAACGUACAGGCUGCUGGGAAUACUGCAGGGCUAGGGAGUGGGAGAGGUAGACGGUACUCGGGAGGAAGUGGUAAAAUGCUUUGAUCUCUCGAUGACCACCUGUGGCGAAGGCGGUCUACCAGAACACGUCCGACGGUGAGGGAUGAAAGCUGGGGGAGCAAACCGGAUUAGAAACCCGGGUAGUCC
rnacentral:rRNA from 1 species